AUGUCUCUGUUUAUAGUCUGUAUAGUUUAUCUCCCCACGAAUACACUCAAAGUAGUCUUAAAAUAAAACCCACAAAACAGUUCAAGAUUUAAUACUUUUUAUUUGCUCAUUUAAUGCCAGUUGCCCUGUUUUUCUGUAUGUCACUCAUUCGCUUAUACUUGGGCAAAAAGGACCAAUUUGUACACUAGUAUAGUGUAUUUUUUCCCUCUAUCUCUCUAUGUCUGUCACACACAGAGACCAACACACAGACAUGUAUAUGCUCAUUAUUGCUGUUCAAACUGAUGGUCAAAUUUCCAAGCACCACCUGAACGCCUCAUCUGUUUUUAACCUAUCACUGGACCAACUGUCGUCAUUCCGCUUUGCUCUCUGCUGUGGUAAGUACAGUACACUCAGUACUGCAGUGUUUUAUUUUUAUGAUGGAAAAAAUACAUGUUUGACAUUUAAACUCACAUAUCAAGUCCAACAGAGUUAAAAACAAUUCAAAGAAGAAAGAAAGAAAAAAGAAUAACCUUCGCUAUCAUUUAUAUACGUUUAUUACGUUUUGCUGUUAGCAGCAGUGCUAACGCUAGCUUCAAUGCUAAUGCUAGCAACAAUGCUAACGCUAGCUAUAGUGCUAACACUAGCCUUAGCAGUUGUUAACUGACAAAAAUAAUAUUCCUGUGAUAUUUCUUGCCGGUCAGUGAGACAAAAGUAAGAAAUUAGCUUUAUUAUUGCCAUUGUGGCUCAGUUUUAACAGUAAGAGUGCUAGCGCUAGCAGCAUUGCUAGCGCUAGCAGCAUUGCUAACGCUAGCUGCAAUGCUAACGCUAGCUGCAAUGCUAACGCUAGCUGCAUUGCUAACACUAACUGAAGUGCUAAUGCUAGCCGGAAUGCUAGCGCUAGCAGCAAUGCUAAGGCUAGUAACAGUCUAACAGUAGCCUUACAUAAGUGGCAAUACUUCAGUUAACUAGUUUGAAUUGUAAAAUGACUGCUGUAUCAGUUGGUGUGCUAUAUUACUCUAUAAUUACCCUGCUGACUAGAAGUUCAGUGUAUCAUGUCGUGUGGGCUUUGUAUUUCUGUUAGUCUGAUAACACUGUACAGACAACUAACGUAUUAUUUCUCGUUUCUUUCAGGAACCUGACUGACACUGUGCUUUGCCUGAGUGUGUAGAAGAAGAAGAACAAGGACCAGAUCUCCAGUCUUCUCUCUCACAUCCCAACCCCCCAACCCCUCUAUCCUCUGUCCUGCUCCACCUAUUGUCUCUGCCUUCUUUCCAUCUGUAUUUCACUCUGUGGUUUGUGAGAAAUUUUGCCAAACCAACAAUCCUUUUGCGGUUUGAUUUAAAGCCGUGUCUCUCCUGCUCUGUCUGUUCUCUCUGCUAAAUUUUCUCUCUACCUGUUUUUCACUCUUGGCUUGCUGCUGAAAAACGCCAAGCGACACAGUCCUCCUGUGUCUUCUCCAAUCUUCACAUGUAAGAUCCAACAGUGUGAGGCACAUAGCAGCCAGAAACUGUAAUGCCACAGAACAGAGAGGCUUCAUCAUCACCAUCUUCAUCACCGUACGAUCAGAGCGUGAGACUUCACAUCUGGAGCACAGGAGACAUUCUGUGAUAAGUCUUCCUUCUAGCUUGUCCCACAAGCAGUCGGUGAGAUUUACUCACAACAAAAAGGGUUAAUGACAUAAUUUCCAUGAAAACAUGUGUUCAUUCUUUGUAAACUGUUUAAAUUGUGUUUUCACUUGACCUUAGGAGUGUUAGAGUGUAUUGUAAUGUCUGUACUCAGGUGUUUCCCUCUGUGAUCCAUCCCCUUCAGAGCUGAGACACUCAGGACUGAACAGACUGCACAGUUUCUGUGACUGAGCCUCCAAAACACCUUCUUUGAAACCACUCAUGAUAGAAGGGCUUUAUAUUUGCAGCAGCACUACUACAGUUGGCAGGAAUGUUGCUGCAGGAAAACAUCCCUGGAGAUCACCAUCAUUGUCAGACUGACUGUGCCUCCUCUGUGCAGUGUCAAGAUCCUCCCUAAAUGAGUGUUUCUCAGCUAUCCUGCUUCUGUGCUGCUUGCCACACAUCAAACUCUGGCCGGAUGACAGGGAGGAUCCACUCUGAAGUCACUGGACAUUAUGAGGAUCAUAUGGGACUUCAUAGUUUCACAGUAACAUUGUGCUCUGUGAUUACAGGUUUUAAAUGGAUACAAUGACUGCCUCUCUCUGAUCAACAGGCUAAAGGAUUGUUUUCAUUGUUAGUGCUCUGUACAAUGUAUGCUUAUUUAGUAUUUCAUCACAGAGCAAACCUUUAUUUAUUUAACAUAUUUUUAUUUUGUUUUAAUGUUGAAUUAACUGUAGGGAUUUUUUUAAGUGGGCACUCGGGAUGUCAUAUGACCAGAAAUGUGGUAACUGGAAUUCAACAGUAUGGAAGAAAAAAUCUGCUAAGAACAAAACACACACAAAACCCCCAAGAAAAUUCAAAUUCAU